GUCCCAAGCGUUACUGAGAAUCACUGGGUUUAAAGGGUGCGUAGGUGGUCCGUUAAGUCAGUUGUGAAAUCCCCGGGCUCAACCCGGGAACUGCUUCUGAUACUGGCGGACUUGAGGCCAGUAGGGGUCACUAGAACUGACGGUGGAGCGGUGAAAUGCGUAGAUAUCGUCAGGAAUGCCGGUGGUGAAGACGGGUGACUGGGCUGGUUCUGACACUGAGGCACGAAAGCGUGGGGAGCGAACGGG
rnacentral:rRNA from 1 species